rnacentral:rRNA from 1 species
GAUGAACGCUGGCAGCGUGCUUAACACAUGCAGGUCGAACGAUGAAGCCCAGCUUGCUGGGUGGAUUAGUGGCGAACGGGUGAGUAACACGUGAGUAACCUGCCCUUAACUCUGGGAUAAGCCUGGGAAACUGGGUCUAAUACCGGAUAGGAGCGUCCACCGCAUGGUGGGUGUUGGAAAGAUUUAUCGGUUUUGGAUGGACUCGCGGCCUAUCAGCUUGUUGGUGAGGUAAUGGCUCACCAAGGCGACGACGGGUAGCCGGCCUGAGAGGGUGACCGGCCACACUGGGACUGAGACACGGCCCAGACUCCUACGGGAGGCAGCAGUGGGGAAUAUUGCACAAUGGGCGCAAGCCUGAUGCAGCGACGCCGCGUGAGGGAUGACGGCCUUCGGGUUGUAAACCUCUUUCAGUAGGGAAGAAGCGAAAGUGACGGUACCUGCAGAAGAAGCACCGGCUAACUACGUG